UAGGGAAUCUUCCGCAAUGGGCGAAAGCCUGACGGAGCAACGCCGCGUGAGUGAUGAAGGUCUUCGGAUCGUAAAACUCUGUUAUUAGGGAAGAACAAAUGUGUAAGUAACUAUGCACGUCUUGACGGUACCUAAUCAGAAAGCCACGGCUAACUACGUGCCAGCAGCCGCGGUAAUACGUAGGUGGCAAGCGUUAUCCGGAAUUAUUGGGCGUAAAGCGCGCGUAGGCGGUUUUUUAAGUCUGAUGUGAAAACCCACGGCUCAACCGUGGAGGAUCAGUGGAAACUAGAAAACUUGAGUGCAGAAGAGGAAAGUGGAAUUCCAUGUAUAGCAGUGAAAUGCGCAGAGAUAUGGGGGAACACCAGUGGCGAAGGCGACUUUCUGGUCUGUAACUGACGAUGAUGUGCGAAAGCGUGGGGAUCAAACAGG
rnacentral:rRNA from 1 species